rnacentral:snRNA from 1 species
UUGCUUUGGCAGCACAUAUAUGAAAUUGGAAUGAUAGAGAUCAGCAUAGUCCCUGCACAAGGAUGACAUAUGAAUCCAUGAAACAUUCCAUUUUUUU